rnacentral:lncRNA from 1 species
GAAAAAGGAAGUUGUCUUCAAUUUAGUCAUCGCGCAAAUCAACUCGUGUCUUGACUGAGCUGCCCAUGUGAUUCUUAACCAGUUCAAAAAGCUUUCAAUGUAAUUGGCUUUAGAAUCAAUGCACCUAGACAUUUGUGUGCAAAAAAUAUUUGCUCUCUUUGUUUUUCUUUAUUAGUAAAAUUUAACACGGCAUAGAUUGCAAAUUAUUCAAUGUUUAGCAUCUAAAUCAUUAUACUCUCAUCUAAAAUAUAUGAAACAAUGGAAAUGAAAAAAAUUUUAGAUUUUUUCAUUAAAAAAUGAAAGUAAAAAAUUUAUAAAUAUUAAAAUUUAAAUCUUAACUAUUUUAAAAUUUAUUUAUUUUAUAAAUGAUGAUUUAUGAAGUUUUAGAUUUACGAAAACCUAAACUAAUAAGGGGUAUUUAAAAAAAAUUUUAAAUAGAUAAAUUAUUUA